CCUACGGGUGGCAGCAGUAGGGGAUAUUGCUCAAUGGGGGAAACCCUGAAGCAGUAACGCCGCGUGGGGGAUGAAGGGUUUCGGAUUGUAAACUCCUUUUGUUAGAGAAGAUAAUGACGGUAUCUAACGAAUAAGCACCGGCUAACUCCGUGCCAGCAGCCGCGGUAAUACGGAGGGUGCAAGCGUUACUCGGAAUCACUGGGCGUAAAGGGUGCGUAGGCGGGAAAGCAAGUCAGAUGUGAAAGCCUAGGGCUUAACCAUAGAACUGCAUUUGAAACUGUUAUGCUAGAGUAUGGGAGGGGUAGGUGGAAUUCUUGGUGUAGGGGUAAAAUCCGUAGAGAUUAAGAGGAAUACUCAUGGCGAAGGCGACCUGCUAGAAUAUAACUGACGUUGAUGCGCGAAGGCGUGGGGAGCAAACAGGAUUAGAUACCCUAGUAGUC
rnacentral:rRNA from 1 species